rnacentral:tRNA from 1 species
GGAAUGUGGCUCAAGCGGUAGCGUGCUUGUCUGGCAUGCACAGGGCUGCUGGGUUCGAUCCUCAGCACCA